rnacentral:tRNA from 1 species
GGAGGGGUGGCUGAGCGGUCGAAAGCGCUGGUCUUGAAAACCAGAGAGGUGCAAGCCUCCCAGGGUUCGAAUCCCUGCCCCUCCGCCA